rnacentral:rRNA from 1 species
UACAGAGGGUGCAAGCGUUGUUCGGAAUUACUGGGUGUAAAGGGUUCGUAGGCGGUGCGGCAAGUCGGGAGUGAAAUCUCUGGGCUUAACCCAGAGGCUGCUUCCGAAACUGCUGUGCUUGAGUGUGGGAGAGGCGCGUGGAAUUGCAGGUGUAGCGGUGAAAUGCGUAGAUAUCUGCAGGAACACCCGUGGCGAAAGCGGCGCGCUGGACCACUACUGACGCUGAGGAACGAAAGCUAGGGGAGCAAACAGG